rnacentral:lncRNA from 1 species
CAUAAAGAUUGCUUCCAGGGCUGUAAAGCUAAAUAAGCUUCUAAAUUACCAGCUAUAUUGAUCCUAGUACUCAGUUUUAAUGUUGACAUAAAACAAACAAAGAUGGGCUUCUUUUUUUAGGCUUUUAUCUUCGGAAUACAGUAUCUGGAUUUUGCAAAGAUAAGUCUAAUGCUUUAGGAAUUAAUAUGAUUUGAACUUGGUAAGUUUUUGGUAAGUAGAAUAUUUAAUUUCUAUUCAAAUAGGAUUCAGAAGUUC